rnacentral:tRNA from 1 species
AGAAAUAUAAACAGUAAGCUUCUAACUUACAAAAUAGCGAAUAAACGUUAAUAUUUC